rnacentral:rRNA from 1 species
GCGCUCUUGGAUGGGCUCAUGUCCUAUCAGCUUGUUGGUGAGGUAACGGCUCACCAAGGCUUCGACGGGUAGCUGGUCUGAGAGGACGAUCAACCACACUGGCACUGCGACACGGGCCAGACUCCUACGGGAGGCAGCAGUAAGGAAUAUUGCGCAAUGGGCGAAAGCCUGACGCAGCGACGCCGCGUGGGGGAUGAAGGUCUUCGGAUUGUAAACCCCUUUCGGGAGGGAAGAUGGAAUGGGGUAACCCAUUCGGACGGUACCUCCAGAAGCAGCCACGGCUAACUUCGUGCCAGCAGCCGCGGUAAUACGAAGGUGGCAAGCGUUAUUCGGAUUUACUGGGCGUAUAGGGAGCGUAGGCGGUUCGGUAAGCCCUCUGUGAAAUCUCCAGGCUUAACCUGGAAAAGUCGGGGGGGACUGCUGGGCUAGAGGACGGGAGAGGAGCGCGGAAUUCCCGGUGUGGCGGUGAAAUGCGUAGAGAUCGGGAGGAAGGCCGGUGGCGAAGGCGGCGCUCUGGAACGUAUCUGACGCUGAGGCUCGAAAGCGUGGGGAGCAAACAGGAUUAGAUACCCUGGUAGUCCACGCCUUAAACUAUGAAUACUAAGUGUCGGCGGUUUACCGCCGGUGCCGCAGCUAACGCAUUAAGUAUUCCGCCUGGGAA